ACGCUGAUCGCACGGUCUCGCACUGGCGACGUAUCCUUCAAGUGUCUGCCUUAUCAACUGUCGAUGGUAGUUUAUAUGACUACCAUGGUUGUAACGGGUAACGGAGAAUAAGGGUUCGACUCCGGAGAGGGAGCCUGAGAAACGGCUACCACAUCCAAGGAAGGCAGCAGGCGCGCAAAUUACCCACUCUCAGAACGAGGAGGUAGUGACGAAAAAUAACGAGACAGUUCUCUAUGAGGUCUGUCAUCGGAAUGGGUACAAUUUAAACCCUUUAACGAGGAUCUAUUGGAGGGCAAGUCUGGUGCCAGCAGCCGCGGUAAUUCCAGCUCCAAUAGCGUAUAUAAAAGUUGUUGCGGUUAAAAAGCUCGUAGUUGGAUCUGCGAUCGUAGACACUGGU
rnacentral:rRNA from 1 species